AAUGAACGCUGGCGGCAGGCCUAACACAUGCAAGUCGAACGGAUCCUUCGGGAUUAGUGGCGGACGGGUGAGUAACGCGUGGGAACAUACCCUUUGGUACGGAAUAGCCUCGGGAAACUGGGAGUAAUACCGUAUGUGGUCGAGAGACGAAAGAUUUAUCGCCAAAGGAUUAGCCCGCGUUGGAUUAGGUAGUUGGUGGGGUAAUGGCCUACCAAGCCGACGAUCCAUAGCUGGUUUGAGAGGAAGAUCAGCCACACUGGGACUGAGACACGGCCCAGACUCCUACGGGAGGCAGCAGUGGGGAAUCUUAGACAAUGGGGGAAACCCUGAUCUAGCCAUGCCGCGUGAUCGAUGAAGGCCUUAGGGUUGUAAAGAUCUUUCAGGUGGGAAGAUAAUGACUGUACCACCAGAAGAAGCCCCGGCUAACUCCGUGCCAGCCGCCGCGGUAA
rnacentral:rRNA from 1 species